GGGGUCUGAAGUUAUGUCUGUUUCUAGUUAAGCAUUGCAAACCCAGAGGAGCGUUGCGUGAGUUUGAAAGCAGCCAACAACAUAUGGAAGCAGUCCUCUACAGGAUCCAUGAGUAGAAACUUUGUGUUUUACUUGACACUACUGACACUGCAAUGGACUAAAUGUUGGAGGCAUGACAGGAUAUCGGACCUUAAAGCAAGAUGAAUUAUGCUGAGGACCAGCUAUGGUGCCUGCUGCACGGUGGUCGGCCUUUGGAGAAGUAUGUGGAGGAAUUCAUCAAGCUCUCCUAUCUGGUGAGCUGGCCUGAUGCCUCACUAUGUGCCUGUUUUCAGUUGGGACUGGACGAGAAUACCAUCUGUUUUAGUUCUCUCGUAUGUGAUUUCUCUUUGGUCUAGUAAAUAAAUCUUAUCCUGUAUUUAAACGGCUCUAACUUUGAGGUAGAGGAAAUUAGACAAGAUAAGAGCCGUUCUAGUCCAGACUCUUCUGUGAACCUCUGGUCCUCGCCAGCUUACCCCAGGCCGGUAUCAUCCACAUGCCUGGCCAAUGGCUCUGACCACCCCUAUCCUCCUGUGUUUCCCCGAGGCUCUCCCAGAACCAUUCCAGUCCUGAGCCUAGAACCAGCGGCUGCUCCACUCUCAAGCCCACCAACCGCUCCACUCGCAAACCUGCCGGCCGCUCCACUUUCCAGACCUAUGAUAAUAUCAGCCUUUUCUUCAACCUCAGCCCAAAAGAGGAGGAUGAGGAAAAGGCGGUUUUCAGUCCCGAUGCUCACUCCAAAGUUCGCCCCAGAAUGUUCGGCAGAGCUCAACCAGAAGCCCAGCCCUCCUUUGUCUCUGCUGGUCCCGUUCAGCUCACCUUCAUCUCCGCUGGUCCCGCCAGCUUUCCUUAAUCUCCUUCAUCUCCUUCGCCUCAGCUGGUCUUGUCCAGCCAUCCUUCAUCUCAUGAGCCUCCUGCGUUAGCCAGCUCCGCUCCUCCAGAGCACCCUCCAGUGCCCAAUCCUCCAGAAUCCCUCUGGGCAUGGAAAUGCCUAGUUUUCCCCAAGAAAAUAUCCUUUAUAUAUCUGUUGCCAUAGUGGCCAAGGCAGGGAACCUGGACAAGGCCACGAAGGCUACUCCAUGGCCUUCUGAACUCCCUGAUCUGCCCUGGAGGCCUUCCUUGUCUCCGCCCUUUUCCUACCCUGCACCAGCCUACAGGAUGCCCGCUCCCCACUCUCCGUUGGAACUGUUAUGGCGCAGGACACGCCUUCUGGGAGGGGGGUGAUAUUUCACGUUUGAGUUCCUGUUCUGUUUAGUUCAUCUCGUUUAGUUCAUUUGUCUCAUUAGUUAACCUUCCUCACCUGUGCUACCCUCAUCAAGUCACCUAUAUAAGGUCUAUCCUUUGUUCAGUUUG
ensembl:lncRNA